GCCUGGUGUGGUGGCAGCUACCUGGGGGCCGAGGUGGGAGAUGGCUUGAGCCCAGGAGUUCUGGGUUUCAGUGUGCUGUGCCGAUCAGGUGUUGGAACUAAGUUCAGCAUCAAUAUGGUGACUUGCCAGAAGGGGGGACUACCAGGUUGCCUGAGAAGGAGUGAAUCAGCCCCUGUCAGAAGCAGAAUAGGUCAAAAGGCCCAUGCUGAUCAGUAGUGGGACUGUGGCUAUGAACAGCCACUGCACUUCAGCCUGGGCAACGUAGCAAGACCCCGUCUCU
rnacentral:SRP_RNA from 1 species